rnacentral:rRNA from 1 species
CAGUCACGCGAACGGGUGAGUAACACGUGGGUAACCUGCCUGUAAGCUGGGAUAACUCCGGGAAACCGGGGCUAAUCCGAUACUCAUUUCCUCGCAUGAGAAAUGUUGAAAGGUGGCUUUUAGCUAUCACUUACAGAUGGACCCGCGGCGCAUUAGCUAGUUGGUGAGGUAAUGGCUCACCAAGGCGACGAUGCGUAGCCGACCUGAGAGGGUGAUCGGCCACACUGGGACUGAGACACGGCCCAGACUCCUACGGGAGGCAGCAGUAGGGAAUCUUCCGCAAUGGACGAAAGUCUGACGGAGCAACGCCGCGUGAGUGAUGAAGGUUUUCGGAUCGUAAAGCUCUGUUGUUAGGGAAGAACAAGUACCGUUCGAAUAGGGCGGUACCUUGACGGUACCUAACCAGAAAGCCACGGCUAACUACGUGCCAGCAGCCGCGGUAAUACGUAGGUGGCAAGCGUUGUCCGGAAUUAUUGGGCGUAAAGCGCGCGCAGGUGGUUUCUUAAGUCUGAUGUGAAAGUCCGCGGCUCAACCUUGGAGGGUCGGUGGCCCUGGGUUUGCUCGAGCCCAGCAGUGAAAACCCUUGGUAGUCCUGAGUUUGAUCAGGGCUCAGGAUUAGAUACCCUGGUAGUCCUGAGUUUGAUCCUGGCUCAGGAUUAGAUACCCUGGUAGUCAUGAGU